UCCAGGACCUUUGAUGAGAGAGUUCAGGAGACCGUGAAUUCCUGCUGGUUGAACCGGAAAGAGUUGACGUACCUCGGUGGGCUAACCAUUACUCCGGGUGGGUUCCCCCUGCAAGGAGUGUGUGGCGUCUGCUUAUAGCUGCGCUGGCACCGUUGUCCAAUUUCUCUGACCCGUCUAGUGUUGCCCACUUCGGUGGUGUCUUGCUGGCGGUGAGGUUUACCGUGUUAACGUUUAGCUUGCCUUACGGCGAGUGCCAGUGUGAAGGUCACCCACCUUUCCGUCCCGUCUUGAAACACGGACCGAGGAGUGUAACUUAUACGCGAGUCAAAGGGUGGAAAACCCAACGGCGCAAUGAAAGUAAGGGUCGGUUUACCGGCUGACAUGGGACCCGUUCGUUAAAGCGCCGCACCAUGGCCCUGUCUUGAAAGCUUGCUCUUGGGCAAGGAAAACCGUAUAGGUUGCAACCCAAAAAUGGUGACC
rnacentral:rRNA from 1 species